UCAAAAACAGUUCCGGAGAAUACUAACUUUGGAAGUUAGAGGAUGAUUAAAGUCAUUUUUGAA
rnacentral:tRNA from 1 species